ensembl:lncRNA
UCCUUCUGCUGUCCCACUCCCUUCCUUGCCUGACACCAUCAUAGCCCUGCCCUUUGCACCCCUGUCUUAAAUGAUAGGACUUUGCUGCUGCCAUCCUCUGGCUCCCAGACAUGAUGGCUCUUUUCCUUCCAAAUAACUUUUUACAAGCAAUUAAUUAACCUCAUCAGAUCCUUUCUGUGGGUCCCAGUGCUGGGAGGGAGGUAGGAGAAGUGCCUUGUCCCCUGAGGCCAGGCAAGUGGAUAUGUGGCUACCCAGGCAGCUGCUGAAGGGAUUCUCUCUUAGGCAGCCACCUCUUCCUCACUCUGGAGCCAGCAGUGUGGGCCCAGGUCCCAGGAGAAGUAAGGGUCACCCUGCCUGCUCUCAGCCCUGGCUUAGUCUCCAAACUGCCUUCCUUAUUGGCUCCCUCCAGCUUCCCUUUUCUCCCAGUUCUCCCCCAGGCAACUUAUGGGAUCAAAGGUUGCAUGCAAAGUACAGGUGAGUGUAAACGAGCAUGACCUCAGGUAGCAGUGAUAACCUUUCCCCUGCAUGCUGGGCCUGCCAUUUUGGUGUAGCAAAUGGCGUGGAAAUACAGGGAAAUGCAUAGUGUCUGCAUGCAAAUGGGCCCAGACAUCCUGGUCACUUCCCUGGCAGCAUACAGCCCCUCGGUGUACCCAUGCAGGGUCUGAUCUGCGACCCUGAAGAGUGGUUCCUGAAAUACUUGGGCACUGGUGAUGGGAACACUGGGCCUACCUCAGCUGGUCCUGACACCUGUGGAUGAGUCCCCUUCCUUCCACUCUGAGAUCCCAGCUAGGCCCUGGAGUGUACUUAGUGCAUGACAACUGGGGAGAGGCUAGGGCUCAGAGGAAAGGCAGAGGGAGAGAGACAAAGUGGGACAUUGAUUGUGCAGCUAUCGAUGCUGGGCUCUGGGCUAGACACGCAAGUUAACUCAUGUUCUUCUGACACCCCAAGAAGUUCUUAAGGAACCUGAGGUUUAAUGAAAUGCAGCAACUGGCUCAAGAUCUUGCACUGAGUAACUUGUGAAGCCAGAACUAGACCAAGAUUUUUAUUAUCUGAGCAAAAUUAAAAUGUAAAUCAGAUAGUGCCAUCCUCUGCCCAAAUCACUCUCAUGGCUUCCCAGUGCUUUUAGUGAGAAAUUAUCUUCUUUUACAUGGCCAGCAAGACCAUGCCCCUCUCUGCCACCUCAUUUCUUACUCUGCCCCAGCACCAGGCCUUUUUAUGCUCCUCUAGCACAUGUGCUCAUUCUCUUCUUAAAGCUCUUGCACUUGCUGAUCUGCCUGCUUGGAACCUUCUUCCUCCAAAUCUUUAUAGAGUGGCUUAUUCUCGGGGCCGGGCGCGGUGGCUCAAGCCUGGAAUCCCAGCACUUUGGGAGACCUAAACAGGUGGAUCACGAGGUCAGGAGAUCGAGACCAUCCUGGCUAACACGGUGAAACCCCGUCUCUACUAAAAAAUACAAAAAACUAGCCGGGCGAGGUGGCAGGCACCUGUAGUCCCAGCUACUCGGGAGGCUGAGGCAGGAGAAUGGUGUGAACCCGGGAGGCGGAGCUUACAGUGAGCUGAGAUCCGGCCACUGCACUCCAGCCUGGACCACAGAGCAAGACUCCGUCUCAAAAAAAAAAAAAAAA